rnacentral:rRNA from 1 species
GACCCGUCUUGAACCACGGAGUCUAGCAUGUACGCGAGUCAUUGGGCUCUCGAAACCUAAAGGCGAAAUGAAAGUAAAGGUCGAGUUUACUCUUCCUAGGGGUGAUGGUCGUGCUAACCAUGCCUUCCCGCAACCCCGGGGCUGCUCAUCCUCUUGAGGAGAGCAGCACCUUGAGCGCACAUGUUGGUACCCGAAAGAUGGUGAACUAUGCCUGGCCAGGGUGAAGUCAGGGGAAACCCUGAUGGAAGCCCGUAGCGAUUCUGACGUGCAAAUCGAUCGUCAGAGCUGGGUAUAGGGGCGAAAGACUAAUCGAACCAUCUAGUAGCUGGUUCCCUCCGAAGUUUCCCUCAGGAUAGCUGGCACUCGGAUUCUUUCAUCCGGUAAAGCGAAUGAUUAGAGGCCUUAGGGUCGAAAUGAUUUUAACCUAUUCUCAAACUUUAAAUGGGUGAGAACUUUGGCUUUCUUGAAUGAAGCUAAAAGAUUCUUAGAAAAAGAGUGCCUAGUGGGCCAAUUUUGGUAAGCAGAACUGGCGCUGUGGGAUGAACCAAACGCCGAGUUAAAGCGCCUAAGCGAACGCAUAUGUGGAAACCAUGAAAGGCGUUGGUUGCUGAAGACAGCAGGACGGUGGCCAUGGAAGUUGGAAUCCGCUAAGGAGUGUGUAACAACUCACCUGCCGAA